AUGAACGCUGGCGGCGUGCCUCAUACAUGCAAGUCGAGCGAACGGACGAGAAGCUUGCUUCUCUGAUGUUAGCGGCGGACGGGUGAGUAACACGUGGAUAACCUACCUAUAAGACUGGGAUAACUUCGGGAAACCGGAGCUAAUACCGGAUAAUAUUUUGAACCGCAUGGUUCAAAAGUGAAAGACGGUCUUGCUGUCACUUAUAGAUGGAUCCGCGCUGCAUUAGCUAGUUGGUAAGGUAACGGCUUACCAAGGCAACGAUGCAUAGCCGACCUGAGAGGGUGAUCGGCCACACUGGAACUGAGACACGGUCCAGACUCCUACGGGAGGCAGCAGUAGGGAAUCUACCGCAAUGGGCGAAAGCCUGACGGAGCAACGCCGCGUGAGUGAUGAAGGUCUUCGGAUCGUAAAACUCUGUUAUUAGGGAAGAACAUAUGUGUAAGUAACUGUGCACAUCUUGACGGUACCUAAUCAGAAAGCCACGGCUAACUACGUG
rnacentral:rRNA from 1 species